CUGGUUUCAGUGCUGCGGGUCCGUGCUUCACCUGGGGGAGAGUUAUCGCAGCCCUGUUGGCAGGGAGCCCCUACACCUGACUGGAUCCCCCCAUGGAGCCCCGGGUACAGGAUGGAGCUGAGGCGCUGCAGAAGGGAUGCUUACACAAAGAGGUGUCCCCGGCACAAUGGACGGUGCCUGAGGUGUGUGCAUGGCUGGGUGCACGACACGGGGACCUGGCACCUCUGGCAGCUGAGCAUGAGGUCACCGGGCGAGCCCUGCUGCGCAUGACGGAGGGGACACUGCAACGCAUGGGGGUGGAACCGUGCAGCCGACGCUGGGAGCUGCUGCAGGAGCUGCUGGGCCUGAGGCUGCAGCAGGAGCUGGAGGAGCUGCUGUGCAUCGUCGGGAGGGAGCAGCAUCCACAGGGCCAUGGGGAUGUCCCCACAGAUGGACUAAGGUCAUCUCCGUGCCCAGAGUGAAGGCUGUGGAUGGGGAGGUGAUGCUGUGUGAUGGAAUUAAGCACAUGACGUGGCAGCAGUGCUGGAGGGAGUCCCGUGGCCACAGUGUCCCCAGAAUAUCCCAAACACAGCUGGUGAUGUAGGGAUGCACAAGGAGAAGGUGGCUGCUGGGUACUUCUGCAUCCUGCAGGGUGGGCGGAGCCUGGUGACAAUAAUGCAGUGAGGACUGUCCCCAUCCACCAGAUCCUGCUGCAAGCCCGGGGUGCAGCAACCCACAUCAUGGGACCUCUCUUUGUUGAGUACUGGACAUCACCUGGGGUUGGCAGAAUGAGUAUGGCACGGGGCACGACUGUGGGCCUCAAUAAAUGUGGCUGGAGCUGUGAAA